UGGGGAAUUUUGGACAAUGGGGGAAACCCUGAUCCAGCCAUCCCGCGUGUGCGAUGAAGGCCUUCGGGUUGUAAAGCACUUUUGGCAGGAAAGAAACGUCAUGGGUUAAUACCCCGUGAAACUGACGGUACCUGCAGAAUAACCACCGGCUAACUACGUGCCAGCAGCCGCGGUAAUACGUAGGGUGCAAGCGUUAAUCGGAAUUACUGGGCGUAAAGCGUGCGCAGGCGGUUCGGAAAGAAAGAUGUGAAAUCCCAGAGCUCAACUUUGGAACUGCAUUUUUAACUACCGGGCUAGAGUGUGGCAGAGGGAGGUGGAAUUCCGCGUGUAGCAGUGAAAUGCGUAGAUAUGAGGAGGAACACCGAUGGCGAAGGCAGCCUCCUGGGAUAACACUGACGCUCAUGCACGAAAGCGUGGGGAGCAAACAGG
rnacentral:rRNA from 1 species